UAUCACUCCGCCAGAAAAGUAGAGACCUGUGUAUGUGUUUCAUGUUUCCAACAAAGCAGAGCGGUCAAGCGAACAUGUUUUCUCGACGUCAACCAGCAUGUUUUUGGAUGGGGAGAUUGUGAGAUGUAUCUUACCGGAGACAUCAGUGGAUUAUUCGUCGUCCUACAGCAGCUGUCAAAAAAGGCAGCUGUGAGCUUGGCUCCUCGGCUUCUCUCUGAGACACUGAGUGUUCACCGCAGCCAUCCGACCUCGAGGUGAAAUUAGAUCAUCUCCCACGGCACACCAGACUGGAUCUCACGGCACAGUGGUUGAAAAAGACUGUUCUACCGCACCUGUUCAAGAAGUCAAGAAUGGGGGUCCGGUCUGAUGGCCAUGGAUGACGUACUGGCUGUCCAGAGUCUGGACCCAGGAUGGACCGCUCGUCCAGAGUCGGGACCCAGGAUGGACCGCUCGCCUGUGUAUCGGUUUGGGACAUCUCUGCGCUGCUGAUCCGCCUCCGCUUGGGAUGGUUUCCUGCUGGCUCCGCUGUGGACUAGACUCUCGCUGCUGCGUUGGAUCCGCUUUGGACUGAACUCUCGCGGCUGUGUUGGAUCCACUAUGGAUUGAACUUUCACAGUAUCAUGUUAGACCCGCUCGACAUCCAUUGCUUUCCUCCUCUCCAAGGUUCUCAUAGUCAUCAUUGUCACCGACGUCCCACUGGGUGUGAGUUUUCCUUGCCCUUAUGUGGGCCUACCGAGGAUGUGGUAGUGCAUAAGGUGUCAAACUCAAAUACAGAGUGGGCCAAAAUUUAAAACUGAACAAAGCCACGGGCCAAGGUUGAACAAAUUAACCUUUUAAUAAGGACCCAAACAAGUUUUGCAUUGAAUAUUGAACAAGCAAGGCUUGUAUAACUUUAUAGUGACAUGUAG